UGAGCAAAUCGGCUUAUCGCUUUUUAAAGAGGAAAGUCCGGGCAGCACAGAGCAUCACACUUCUUAACGGGAAGGGCCUAAUUUAUUAGGUACAGAAAGUGCCACAGAAAACAAACUUCCAAUAAUUUAUUAUUGGUAAAGGUGAAAAGGUGAGGUAAGAGCUCACCGCUUUUUUGGUGACAAAAAUGGCAGGGUAAACCUUGUGAGCUGAAAGACCAAGUAAAUCGAGAAUUGAGGGNUGCUCGCCUAAUCUCGAAGGGUAGGUCGUUAGAUCCUAAUUGUGAAAUUAGGGCAAGAUAAAUGAUAGGCAGUUGAUUUGUUAUUCAGAUCAAUGUACAGGAUCCGGCUUAUGAUUUGCUCUUUUU
rnacentral:RNase_P_RNA from 1 species